rnacentral:rRNA from 1 species
UAGGGAAUCUUCCGCAAUGGGCGAAAGCCUGACGGAGCAACGCCGCGUGAGUGAUGAAGGUCUUCGGAUCGUAAAACUCUGUUAUUAGGGAAGAACAAAUGUGUAAGUAACUAUGCACGUCUUGACGGUACCUAAUCAGAAAGCCACGGCUAACUACGUGCCAGCAGCCGCGGUAAUACGUAGGUGGCAAGCGUUAUCCGGAAUUAUUGGGCGUAAAGCGCGCGUAGGCGGUUUUUUAAGUCUGAUGUGAAAGCCCACGGCUCAACCGUGGAGGGUCAUUGGAAACUGGAAAACUUGAGUGCAGAAGAGGAAAGUGGAAUUCCAUGUGUAGCGGUGAAAUGCGCAGUGAUAUGGAGGAACACCAGUGGCGAAGGCGACUUUCUGGUCUGUAACUGACGCUGAUGUGCGAAAGCGUGGGGAUCAAACAGG